UCCUAUAAACAAAUAUCCUUAUUCAGGAAUGUUACCAACUUGGGCAUAACCUAGAUAAAUGGAGAACUGGCUUUUUGGGCUAGUUUUCAAUUUAU
rfam:Listeria monocytogenes EGD-e, complete genome